rnacentral:lncRNA from 1 species
UUUUUCAAAAAAUGGUCUGCCAGGGUUUCUUCAACCCCUUUUCUUUUUUUGCGCCGCCGCUCAUCAGUCCUCCCACCAAAGGCCCCACCGCGGCGGAGAUGGAGAGGGCUCGGCGACUUCGGCGAAUAGGCAAGUUCCCUUUCUUCUCUUUGUUAUUUAUUACAAAAUAAUGAUGAAAAUAAGAGAGAAAAAAACAAGAAAAAUUUCGUAAAAAAAAAACUUUGUAAAAUAAAAGGCAGAAUCACCUUUAAAAAUGAGUUAAAUAUUUGUAUUCUCUUUGAAUUUCUCUGCUUCUCUCUAUUUCUGUCUCUGUUUAAGCUCAAAAAUCCCCCCUCCCUUUACAGAUUUUCCUCGACUUUAUAUAGCCGAAAAAAUAAAGAAAAAAAUCAAAGAAAUAACACAACAACUUUGUAUUUCCGUUAUUCUCUCAUUUUUUGCGUUUUUCUCUUUCGUUUACUUGUUCUUUGCGUCUGUUUUGCCGUUUGUUGUGCAGAUUCAGCCAACUGGGGAUGUACGUGGGACACGUACGUGCGCAAAGGGUGGUGGUGCAGGGCUGAUGUGCGGCGGCUAGGGUUGAAGGUUGUAUGCUGCUAGGGUUGCUGCUGGAAUUUAGUUAGUGGGCUGUUUAGUUUGGGUCAGGUGUUGGGCCAUUCUAGGUUUAGUUGGGCCCGGGCAUUAUUGGGUUUGUACAGCAACCAUCCUUUAUAAGUCAUUUAAUCUAUUUUAAUCACUAAGUCAUUAACC